rnacentral:rRNA from 1 species
GACGAACGCUGGCGGCGUGCCUAACACAUGCAAGUCGAACGGAGAGUUAGCAAUAACUCUUAGUGGCGAACGGGUGAGUAACGCGUAGACAACCUGCCUCUAAACUGGGGACAACACCGCGAAAGUGGUGCUAAUACCGAAUGUGGUAACUUGAUCGCAUGAUCGAGUUAAGAAAGAUGGCCUCUAUUUAUAAGCUAUCGAUUAGAGAUGGGUCUGCGUCUGAUUAGCUAGUUGGUGAGGUAAUGGCUCACCAAGGCGACGAUCAGUAGCCGGUCUGAGAGGAUGAACGGCCGCACUGGGACUGAGACACGGCCCAGACUCCUACGGGAGGCAGCAGUGGGGAAUCUUCCGCAAUGGACGAAAGUCUGACGGAGCAACGCCGCGUGAGUGAAGAAGGUCUUCGGAUUGUAAAGCUCUGUCGUUUGGGACGAAUGUGAGCUGUGUGAAUAAUGCAGCUUAAUGACGGUACCAAAGGAGGAAGCCACGGCUAACUACGUGCCAGCAGCCGCCGUAA